GAAGAUUCAAGGACAUAUUUCAAGAAGUUUAUGAGGCCAAUUAGAAAUCGAAGUUUGAGGCUGCUGGCAUAUGGUACGAGCACCGACUCAUUGAUGAUAUGGUGGCUUAUGCUCUCAAGAGAGAAGGAGGGUUA